UCGAACGCGAAAGGGUUUCGGCCUGAGUAGAGUGGCGGACGGGUGAGUAAUGCGUGGGAAUCUGCCCUGCAGUGGGGGACAACCCGGGGAAACUCGGGCUAAUACCGCAUACGACCUACGGGGGAAAGGGGGCCUUUGGGCUCUCGCUGCAGGAUGAGCCCACGUCCGAUUAGCUAGUUGGUAGGGUAAGGGCCUACCAAGGCGACGAUCGGUAGCUGGUCUGAGAGGAUGAUCAGCCACACUGGGACUGAGACACGGCCCAGACUCCUACGGGAGGCAGCAGUGGGGAAUAUUGGACAAUGGGCGCAAGCCUGAUCCAGCAAUGCCGCGUGUGUGAAGAAGGCCUGCGGGUUGUAAAGCACUUUCAGUGGGGAAGAAAAGCGGGGUGCUAAGACCACCCGGUCUUGACGUUACCUACAGAAGAAGCACCGGCUAACUCCGUGCCAGCAGCCGCGGUAAUACGGAGGGUGCGAGCGUUAAUCGGAAUCACUGGGCGUAAAGCGCACGUAGGCGGCCGUGUAAGUCAGAUGUGAAAGCCCCGGGCUUAACUUGGGAACUGCAUUUGAUACUGUACGGCUUGAGUCUGAUAGAGGGGGGUGGAAUUCCAGGUGUAGCGGUGAAAUGCGUAGAUAUCUGGAGGA
rnacentral:rRNA from 1 species